AACGAACGCUGGCGGCAUGCCUAACACAUGCAAGUCGAACGAAACCUUCGGGUCUAGUGGCGCACGGUUGCGUAACGCGUGGGAACCUUCCCUUAGGUUCGGACUAACUCUCCGACAGGGGUGCUAAUACCGGAUCAUGUCUUCUGCCCAAAGAUUUAUGGCCCUGGGGUGGUCCCGCGUUGGAUUAGCUCGUUGGUAGGGUAAAGCCUACCAAGGCGCGGAUCGAUAGCUGGUCUGAGAGGAAGAGCAGCCACACUGGGACUGAGACACGGCCCAGACUCCUACGGGAGGCAGCAGUGGGGAAUAGUGGACAGUGGGGGAAAGGCUGAUGCAGCAAUGCCGCGUGAGUGAUGAAGGCAGGAGGGUUGCAAAGCUCUUUUACCCGGGAUGAUAAUGACAGUACCGGGAGAAUAAGCUCCGGCUAACUACGUG
rnacentral:rRNA from 1 species